AGAAAGUAAGACUGAUAAUGGUCCGGCUGAUACUUUACAGGAUUGAGGGAAGAGAUUGGGAUUGUGCACAUUACUGGUAUCCCUGUAAUCCCACUGGGCACUGGGUAACCGUGCCUUGAAGGUGAUCCUUGCAAAACAAAAACGGGGAAGGGGGAGAUUAACUCAAGGGUGCCUGGACAGAGCCCUGUACACAUGCUAUUUUCUUCAGCUCUCACCUGUCGAUGACUCGUCCCCUGCCAUGAGACACUUUGUCUCAGUUAAAUAUACCCUACGCAUGCCACCAGGCAUGAACAUAGGUGACCCUAAAAGACCACUCUGGAUCGUAUAAAAGAAUCCUGAAGGGGUUUGGUCAGGUCCAUACAGAAUACUAAUGUGGGGUCCAGGUUCUCUUUGUAUCUCUACAGAAACCAGAGACUGGUCGGUGCUGACCAAAUGCACCCAGAAAGUGGCUAACGAUAGGAAAAAGGAGACGAUGCUGCCAUCAGCAGGAGGAGGCAAUCCCAAGAUGAAAGCAAGCCUGACAAUGCUCCUGAGACGGCUGAUGAGCCUAACCCUACUCCCCGCCACAGGGAGUGACCAGCACUGGGCAUUACCCAUAACCCUCCCUGGCCCGAGCUUGUUGACUGGGGUGAAGCCCUCCCAUCCCUAUAUACACAGGGCAAUGUGUUCUGCAUGGCUAAAAAAAUGGCCUGAUUAUGACACCCCCUGGGCGAACUGGAAGAGCAUCAGUACAGAAUUUUCAUUUUUCUGGACUGUCUGCUGGGAUUCCUUUUUGUGUUACUAAAGCAUCACCUGGUUUGGGGUACUGUGUGCCUUUGGUUAGGAGCACCCUCAGACAUUGGUUUAAGUUGGGAUGUUCCUCUGUUGAGGAAGUUGUUCAGUUAUUAAGCCCAAAUACUGUGCCAUGCCCAGAACACCUGCCGAUCCACUUUGCUGAGGAAUCUCAGUGACCCAUGCCGCACCUACUAUGGGGACCUGUCCUACCUAUGGAACAUUGUCACCAGGACAAUAGGACACAUUUCAGGAGCAAUAAUAAGACAGUCCAGAACAUUUCUGAAUAUUUGCAUGACAAUCUCCUUCAUCAUCAGGUGCAACAUAUGCUUAUAUAUAUAUAAUUGUAUGCCUUACUGCUUUUGGUGCUAACUUAGCACCCACCCUGACAAAAGCUUUCAUAUACCUGCUCAAAAGUGAGCUUCAUGCGAUUUAUACCUUACUCCCCAUCACCUAUUCCCCUAAACCUGUAAGUGUUGCAUGCUAAACAAGAAAGGGGAGAUGUUGGGGUCCAGAGAUCUGGGAUCCAGAGGUCAGAGGUCUGUGCUGAAUUAAAGAACAGGAAAGUAUUCCUUGCAGUUCCCCUGAUAAACAUGAGACCCAGAGCAUGCUGAGGUUGCUGAUCCAAGAAGGUCACAGUGACCCAAAAUAUGCAUGGUCCGAGAAUUGGCUCUGUUAUCAGAAAGUGAGCUCUGUGGCUUUCCUGACUCAGCAUAAGAUCCUUCCUCAUGUUUGGUGUGGGAGGCUGGGGAUAAAAGAGGGGCUGGAGAAGAGGGGAGAGAGGUAGGGAUGUAGCUGUGACCAAAUGCACCACAAUAAAGAGCACCUUGAUUUCAUCUCUUUUGGCUUAUGACUCUCCUUGGGGAAUACGGCUGGUUCAUGUCCAGAUGUGCACUAAGGACUGUGGGAAGGAGGGAAUAAUGGGCAUCUUGAAAAACACUGGUGCCUAAAGGAAAGGAAGUACUCAAAAAAGAAGAUUUGGGGAAACCCAGAAAACAAACUUUGAAAACUUCACAAUUUUGUAUAAGAAGAAAUAAGCACAUCAUGCUAAUCGUUUUGAAAGCCAAUGAGGGACAAGAAAAGCAGCUUCCCACAAGAAGAGCCAGAUCUGCGUUGGUUGUACCAUCCUGAUGGCUAAUCAUCUGGAGUUCCUUUAAGAUGCAUCAAGGUUAUUAAAGGACCAGUGGAAUUUUCCUCCUAGUUUUGCUUUGGAAGCCUUCUUUCUUUAGUAGCAAGAAGAGGCAGCUGCUAACUGGGAUGGGGGGGAGGAAAGGGGGGAAUAAGUGUUCCUAACAGAUGCUUGGGACUCUCAGAGCACUUGUGAGAUGUUGGAAAAAACAAAAAAUCAGCCACGUUGACGAUAAGGGUAAUUUUUACCUCUUCUCUGCAUAGGCAAGUAUGUUAUUUCAAUUAUGAUAUCCACUGCUGGAUAUUAAACUGAGCUACUCAGAUAAUGAAUAGCAUCAGAGGAUUGGCUUGGCUUUUGGGUCUGUUUUACAUGCCAUUUGGGACCUUUAGGAAGGUAAAGCUCUUUGUGAGCAUGGUUGGGUCUAACUCGAACCAACUGCCCCCAUCUCCUACUUAAAGAAAUGUCUCACCCACAGUUCUAUAAAAUGAGACGAGGAAAGACAGAACCAUAGAAAUUUACUCCUUCUUCCAGACACUAAGCUAGAAUAAAUCACCAAUGAUCUUUUCAUGUCAUGUGUUUCCUGGUUGUUUUUAUUUUUUAUGGCUCUUGGUUUUCACUGACACCUGAAAAUAUUUCAUUAAAAACAUUUUUGGAGAUGCUUCCUACUUUCCCCCAAAUAUAUAUGUUCACUGGAGUUUAUCCCAACAUCUCAGAAAACAAGCAACAACAAAAUUUGAUCUUUUUAGAAAAGUCUUGACUUUGUGCUCUGUAAAUUACCUUUUAAAUUUUAAUUCCCCCUUUUAACAUUUAAUUUUUUUUUCAUCCCUAUAAAAUGGUUUUUUAAAAUUGUUACUGACAUCAGCAGGCAAAAGGCCAAACCCCUAAAGGUCCAUGUGGAUGGUGAGAUUGAAAUGAAAGUUUGGCAAAUUAUCUGUAUGUGGCCUUAAAUGUCAGAUGGAAAGACUGAAAUGUACAAUGCAGAUGAGCAAAGAGAAUAACUGGACUGAGCACAGGUCAUGAAAUGAAAAUGAAUAGAGAGGAGUGUUAUCCAGGAGUAUACUAGAGCCAGUUUGAGCUGGCUUGGGAAAGCGGGUUGUUAGAUUUUUCAGCAUUCACUUUUAUACUUGGAAAUAACCAAACACUACAAAUCAUAGUUUAAUUUAUUGUUUUGUAAAUUUCCUAGACCUAAGUGAUAAAACAAAUGUUAACAAUGAAGAUUAAACUUAAAAGUAUGUCAUGGAUAUAUUUUUCCCUCCAGAGAGCUUGGGUUGUUAGCAUUUGCCAGCACACCACUCCUACCAUCCUGCUUUUUUUUUUUUUUUUUCAGAGAGGACAGAAACUAUCCUGCUGUUUCUUGUGAAACAUAGAAGGGAAAACUAGAUGGUGCAAUAGAAUAAGCACCAGCCCUGGAGUCAGGAGGAACUGAGUUCAAAUUCAGACACUCAGAUAUUAUUAGCUGUGCGACCCUGGUCAAAUCAUUUAAUCCCAAUUACCUCCCUCCCCUUUCCCCAUGAAACAUAGAGCUAUGCUUUCAGCACUGCCUCCUUUCCCCUCUCCUUCCAAGCACAAUUCUUUCUUUAGCUGGUUCAUGGAAUCUCAGAGGUGGUGGGAAUUUCAAAGACCUCUCAUCCAAAUGCACAGAAGAAGAUUUCCCUUCCACAACACAUGAUAAGUGGUUAUUUAGCCUUUCCACAUAGAUCAUUCCACUUUGGGGUACUUCUAAUUGUUGGGAAAGUUUUCUUUAUAGUGAACUUAGAUUUAUCUCUAAAACUUCUACUCUAAAGAUCUAACCUCUGGGACCAAAAUGGACUAUACCAUAUAGCAAUCCUUCAGAUAUCUGAAGACAUAUAUGAUCCCCCUAAAGCUACUUCCUCUGCCCAUAAACACAGCCCUUUUUGGUACUCCGCCUACUUUUUUUUUUGAUGGGAAUCGCCAUCCUUCUCUUGAUUCAAGAUUCAACUUCUAGGAGUCAUCCUUAACUCUUAAUUUUUCUCAAGUCUUCAUUUUUUGCCAUCUCCCAUAUCUAAUUAGUUGUUAAGUCUUGUCUGUUAUACAUCCAUAUUACCUCUCACACACAUCUCCUUCCUUUUCUUUAAGUCACAAUGACUAAUGCAUAUCCUCUGCAUGUCUUUCCUGGAUUACUGAAAAAGUUUUCAAAUUAGUUUCCUUGCAUCCAUCUUUCCCCUCUCCAAUUAAUCCUCCAUUUAAUUACUACUGAUAUUCUUAAAGUAUACAUCCAGCCAUGAUAUUCCUCUUCUCAUGGUCUAUCCAUUACUUCUAGGAUAAAAACUCGAUUUGGCAUUUAAACCACUUCAAUAAUUGGCUUCAAACUUUCCUUCCAUUCUGAUCAUUUACCACUUCCAUUCACAUACUCUAGGAAGACCAGACUCUUCUUAAAUCUUUAAACUGGGGAUUUUAUUUCCAGGUUCCAAGCCUUAGCACAAGGUGUGCUUCAUGUCUACAAUGAACUCCCACCUGAUUUCUGCUUCUUGCAAGUGCCCAUUCCCUCUAAGGCUCAGCUCAGGUACCACUUCUUACAAGAGAUCUUUCCUGUUUCUUUAAAGUGCUAGUGCAUUUUCACCUUGACCCCAAAAGUUAAUUUAUAUUUAUUCACUUUUGUGCUUGUUUCCCCCUAAUACAAUAAAAAUUUCUGGAAAGCAGUGACUAUUUUGUUUUGUCUUUACUGAAAGACAAAACAAAAUAGUCUUUGUAAGUCCUAGGACCUGGCAGAACACCUGGCACAUAGUAGGAAUUUCACAAACACUUUUUGAAUUGAAUAUGCCUCCUACCUUUUCUUUCCUAAAAUAAACAGCCCAACUUCUUUCAGUUGACCACUACUGGACAUGGUCUUGAAACACUUCAUUAGUCAGCUCAAGUUCAAAUAAAAUUAAAACCACUAAGUCAUAUAUGAAGAUCCCUGACGACUGUAUAUUGACUUAAAAGAC